UCCCGGAUGUUAGCGGCGGACGGGUGAGUAACACGUGGGUAACCUGCCUGUAAGACUGGGAUAACUCCGGGAAACCGGAGCUAAUACCGGAUAGUUCCUUGAACCGCAUGGUUCAAGGAUGAAAGACGGUUUCGGCUGUCACUUACAGAUGGACCCGCGGCGCAUUAGCUAGUUGGUGAGGUAACGGCUCACCAAGGCGACGAUGCGUAGCCGACCUGAGAGGGUGAUCGGCCACACUGGGACUGAGACACGGCCCAGACUCCUACGGGAGGCAGCAGUAGGGAAUCUUCCGCAAUGGACGAAAGUCUGACGGAGCAACGCCGCGUGAGUGAUGAAGGUUUUCGGAUCGUAAAGCUCUGUUGUUAGGGAAGAACAAGUGCAAGAGUAACUGCUUGCACCUUGACGGUACCUAACCAGAAAGCCACGGCUAACUACGUGCCAGCAGCCGCGGUAAUACGUAGGUGGCAAGCGUUGUCCGGAAUUAUUGGGCGUAAAGGGCUCGCAGGCGGUUUCUUAAGUCUGAUGUGAAAGCCCCCGGCUCAACCGGGGAGGGUCAUUGGAAACUGGGAAACUUGAGUGCAGAAGAGGAGAGUGGAAUUCCACGUGUAGCGGUGAAAUGCGUAGAGAUGUGGAGGAACACCAGUGGCGAAGGCGACUCUCUGGUCUGUAACUGACGCUGAGGAGCGAAAGCGUGGGGAGCGAACAGGAUUAGAUACCCUGGUAGUCCACGCCGUAAACGAUGAGUGCUAAGUGUUAGGGGGUU
rnacentral:rRNA from 1 species